rnacentral:rRNA from 1 species
CGGAGGGUGCAAGCGUUAUCCGGAUUCACUGGGUUUAAAGGGUGCGUAGGUGGGUUGGUAAGUCAGUGGUGAAAUCCCCGAGCUUAACUUGGGAACUGCCAUUGAUACUAUUAAUCUUGAAUACCGUGGAGGUCGGCGGAAUAUGUCAUGUAGCGGUGAAAUGCUUAGAUAUGACAUAGAACACCAAUUGCGAAGGCAGCUGACUACGCGAGUAUUGACACUGAGGCACGAAAGCGUGGGGAUCAAACAGGAUUAGAUACCCUGGUAGUCCACGCCCUAAACUAUGGAUACUCGACAUACGCGAUACACUGUGUGUGUCUGAGCGAAAGCAUUAAGUAUCCCACCUGGGAAUACGAUCGCAAGAUUG